CAACUCUGUAACCAACUGUCACAUGUGACACCCCCCCUCCCCCGCCCUGCGCAAUCCUGGUUGUCACCAGGCUGGGGAGAGGAGGCCGUGCUCCCAGGCAAGUGUGCAGCGGCUGGGGCCCUGCGGGGCGGGGGAGCUGACGCCACUCACGGAGCGGGGAGGGUCUUCCAGGAAGCCGCAGGCUCGGCUGACUGCCGGGCUGCGGGUCGGGAUCCGGGCCGCGCCGCCUGGGCCGGCACGUAGCGCCCAGCGUGACUCAGCGCUGACUCACCGCGCUCGCUGCCAGUGGAUUUCCCCGUCAGCGGCUCCCGCUUGCCUGUCCUCGCCGCCGCCUGCUCCGCGAGCCCUUUCCUGCUCUCCAGGCCAGUCCCUGCGAUUUCGGCAGAGCAGCGGGGCCGACUUUACCGCCUUUGAAUCCCGACCAAAGCAGGGAAGUGACUAGCUUUGUUUUCUUUGACUUUAAGAGCUCAAUGGCCCACUAAUCAAAUUCUUUCAUCAAAGGCCUGUUGGAGCAUAUCCCUAACAUAGAUCGUCCUUCCUCGGUGACUUAAAGAUGACCUCCGCUCAGAGUUUGCUCCUGUCGUCCUAAGCCUGCAUCUUAUUUUUAUCCCACAUUUUCUUAGGUUAUCUUUUUAAUAUGUUUGGUAACUAGUCUUGGCACAAACCCACAAGGGCAGUGACGCAAAUCAGGUUGAAACUUGGCAUGAUGUGUGGGCUUGAGUGACUUACUGUAAAAACCAGGGAACGCUUCAUAAAGACGUUACUAUGAGCCAUCUCAGUUGCUGAUUAGAUGCCCUGCUCAGUUUCAUCUGUCACUACCAUCUCUGCAAGAUACCAGGACAGACUGUUAAAAAUGCAGACUCUUGAGCAGUCAUACUUAUUCUUCCUCUCCAGGAUUCCACAAGGAAAGCAACAGUACAGCACAAUUUCUCCAACUGCAGCUCUUGGACCAUGUAUGGAGAGUGGCUAGGGGGAUGUGGCCACAGUGCAGACAGGAGCUGUUGGGAGAUUGGAGAAUAAUCUAGGAAUCUAUUUUGAAAAUUUCCCUAUUCUUCUUCCCUGGGAUAUUUUACUUGUUUACCAUUUUCUUUUCAUCUCAUUGGCAAAGAUUAGCCUAAAGCCUUCAUCCUGGCCAACACGAAAAUGUUGUCUUUUGAACUCCACUGAUAAAAUUUAAUGUGAUCAAGACUUCUUUUUCUAGGAGAUUUCCAGUCCCUGCUACCCCUCCAGCCUCUAAACCAACUGCACUCCAGGCCUGUGGAGCAGUUAUCGCUGAGACUGCCUGCACUGCAAUACUAGUGUCUCUGACCAGUUUUGGCAUGAGGGUAUUGCUGGCCUUUGAAAAUGAGUUCAGAAGUGUGCCUUCCUCUUCAAGUUUUUGGAAGAGUCUGAGAAUUGGUAUUAAAAUCUUCAAAUGUUUGGUGAAAUUCACGAGUGAAGCUCUCUCCUCCUGGACUUUUGUUUCUUGGGAGGUUUUUGUUUACUGAUUCAAUCUUGUGGCUGUUUUGUAAUUCUUCUUUGUUCCUUUCUUCCCUUGUGCCUUGAUGACUUUAUGUAAUAAAGUCAGAUUCCUUUCUUAUCUUUUAUGUAUCUACUAUAGGUUUUCUUUUUAUGGCAUAACAAGGCUCACAUAUAAUGACCUAUUUGUAUAACCACUAUUUUAAGAUGAUAGCAAGUUAUGCUCCACAAAUAAGUGAAACCAUAUGAUAACUGACUCUCUCUGCUUGACUUAUUUCACUCAGCAUAAUCUCUUCCAGUCCCGUCCAUGUUGGGUACUCAUGGGGAGAUGGAGCAGAGAAGGGAGUUGAGGGAAAUUGGAAGGGGGAGGUGAACCAUGAGAGACUAUGGACUCUGAAAAACCACCUGGGGGUCUUGAAGGGGUGGGGGGUGGAAGGUUGGGGGAACAAGGUGGUGGGUAUUAGGGAGGGCAUGUAUUGCAUGGAGCACUGGGUGUGGUGCAAAAACAAUGAAUACUGUUAUGCUGAAAAGAAAUAAAAUUUUUUUUUAAAAAGACAACAUAAAUAAGACCAAAAAAAAAAAAAAAAAAGAUGAUAGCAAGUUAAGUCUGAACACAUUUUUAAAACUCUAUUUUUACUGCCCCACUCCCAAUUUUAUGUUUAAUGUCACAUUUUACAUCUUGUUAUUUUGUAUGUCCCUUAACCAAUUAUUGUAGUUGUAGUUAUUUUUACUAUUUUCUUUUAAACUUCAUACUAGCGUUAUAAAUUAUUAACCCACUAUCUUAUCUAUAGAUUGACAUUUACCACUGAGUUUUUUACUUUUGUAUGUUUUCUUGUUGCAAGUUAGUGCUCUUUUCUUUCAGCUUAAACAAUUCCCUUUAAUAUUUCUUGGAUAAGGCUGGUUAAGUAGUGCCAAACUCCUUUAGCUUUUGCUUGUCUGGGAAACUCUCUCUCUCCCCUUCAGUUCUGAAUGAUAACCUUCCUGGGUAAAGUAUUCUUGGUUGGAAUUCUUUCCUUUCAGCACCUGAAAGUAUCAUGCUGUUCCCUUUGGGGCCUUAAAAAGUUUCUGCUGAGAAAUUUGUUGGCAGCCUUGUGGAGGGAGGAAGUUCCCUUGUAUAUAACAAGUUGUUUUUCUUUUGCUGCUUUUAAUCACUCAUCAUGUUUUAAUUUCAUAGUUUUGAUUUAAUCUUUUCUAAAUACAGCACUGGAUUAAUACAGAACAAGAGAACAAGAGUCCCCAGCAAAGGAGCCAGAUUGGUAUUAGCACCACCCCCCUUUCACCACCUCCCCAGCCCUUUGAGUUUUAUUUUUUAGGGAUGAUGGCAUCUCUAAGACACCACUUUAUGUUCAUGAAGGCCAGAGCUUUUGAAGUAGCUCAUAAGCCCAACAGAAAUCACAGAGUUUUUAUUUCAUGGUGACUUCUUAACCUUUCUUACCCUGCUAAUGAGGGUGCUUUUACCAGACAUUCUGAGCUGUAACACAUAGUGGAGUUAGGUCUACAGAAAAAUGUCAGAUUUUUCAAUGGUGUGCCCUAAGAUUUCACCCUUCUCUAAGAUUUUUACUUUAAAAAACUAUCUUCAGCCAUGGGUUACAUUCUUUUACUUACGAAGCCAUCUUUUAAAAAAAUAAACCCUAGGCGUGCCUGGAUGGCUGAGUCGGUUAAGUGUCCUACUCUUGGUUGCAGCUCAGGUCAUGAUCUCAGGGUCAUGGGAUCAAACCCCUCGUCAGGCUCAGCACAGAGUCUGCUUGAUAUUCUUACCCUCUCCCUCUGUCCCUUCCUCCACUCAUGCUCUCUAAAAUAAAUAAAUAAAAUCUUUGAAAACCCCUAUAUUGAAUUAUAGCUUUGCAUAUAAUAAAAUGUACCCAUUCUAAGUGUACAGUUUUAACAAAUGUAUAUACUUAGUGAGUAUUCCAACACCCUCCCCACAACCAAAACCCCCCUAAUGCCCUUUAUAGUUAGUUCUCUCUCUACACUCAGCCUUAGCCAACUGCUCUGCUUUCUAUCAUGAUAAAUUAGUUUUACUUUUUCAAGAAUAUUCUGUGAACAGUAUGUAUUCUUUUGGGGUCUGGAUUUUUUACUUAGUAUAAACCUUUUGAGGUUCAUCAAUGUUGUUGUAUGCAUGUAUAACCAGUUCUUUCAUUCCUGAGUAGUAUCCCGUUUUAUGGAUAGAACAGCAUUUGUCGAUCCUUUCGCCUGCUAAUUGGAUGAUGUCCCUAUAGGGGCUGUUAUGAGUAAAGCUGCCAUAGAUAUUUGUGAAUAAGUUUCUGUGCAGUAUUAAUUUCUCCUAAAAAAUAUCUAAAAGCAAAUGCCUGUGUUAUAUAAUUAAGUAUGUGUUUAGCUUUUAAGAAACUACAAGCUACUUUCCAGAAUGGUUGUAUCAUUUUGAACUGCCACUAGUAAUAGAGCUGACCCUGGAACAAUGUGGUUGUUAAAAGCCCAAACCCCAAAUGCCCAGUUGAAAAUCUGAGUAUAACUUUUAUCCCCCAAAAACUCACUUCUAAUAACCUAUGGUUAACCAGAAUCCUUACCAAUAACAUAAACAGUCAACCAAUACAUAUGUUUAUAUGGAUUAAAUACUGUAUUCUUAUAAUAAACUAAAGAUUAAGAAAAUAUAUUUAUAGUACUAUACUACACUUACUGAAAAAAAUCCACAUAUUAGUGGACUAGCAUAGUUCAAACCCAUGUUGUUCAAGGGUCAACUGUAUAAUACAUUCACAGAGCGUUAAGUGCU